UGAUACGAGUCUCUAUUGCUCAGGUAAUGACCUGCACAGGCUCAUGGCCACAAUGGCCCAUGAGCUCACACUCCUUAAAGAAUAUUUUGACAAUAAUAAGCUGUCCAUGAAUCUGAGUAAAACCAAAUACAUUAUCUUUGGAAAUAAGACAAUAAAGAGCAACAUCAAUUUAAAUGUCAGUGAAUCAACAAUUGAGCGUGUGCAGGCCAGUAACUUUCUAGGCAUUACAGUCGAUGAUUAACUCUGUUGGAAGCAACUUAUACAUACUAUAAAGUCAAAAUUAGCAAAAAAUGUUGGUGUAAUAGGAAAAAUGAAAUCAGAGAUCAGAAGAGAGUCAGGUAGGAAAAGAGC